CACUGAUCCAUCCAAAUUGGGUUUGUGAGGAAAAAUGUUUUUUUCCAUAACCCUAUCAUAUAUUGGAGAAGUCCUUUUUCUUUUCUUUUUUUUUCCAGGUCAAUUGAAAACCACUGGAACAAUUUUCUAUGUACAACUAGGUUCAGUCUUACAUCGUUUUUCAUAACUACAAUCUUGUGCUGAAAACCUUCUACAAGCUAGUUAAAGGAUUUGAAAUUCAGGCUUUUAAAUCAUUUUCAGGUCUUCUGCUGGAAUCUAUCAUUUUCUUCCAGAUCCAAGGAUCGAUGUUAUUUUUUUGCCUGAAAAUUGUGGCUCCAUAGUUUUGGGUUGAAUGAGAGCAAAUGCCAUUAGGCUACAAAUAUAGUGGAGUGAUCCCUGAUGACAGAUCUGUUACCGUGCAUCUGCAUCUGGCCAUCCCUUUGAGUCCUUUUAUUACCUUCUGUAUCUUACUUGACAUUUAUCUGCUGUAACUUAUCCUGUCCCUGGGCAUAUAGGUGUUUUUGAACCUGCUCAAGCCACUCUUAAUAUACCUGGCUCCGACUAUAGAACUUUUUGCGCAUAAUCUUUUCAACUUCUUGUAGAAAUCAGCAUGUUUUUUCUCAGAUUCUGUGAGAAUCAGCGAGAUUGCCUACUGACAUGCAUAGAACAUCGUCUACAUCUGAGGCCAAAGCCAUGAGCAUCUAUGAACAUUUCUUAGUUGAUAAUUCUGUACGAUCCUUCAGAGUAAAAUUUGAAGCAGAUUAGGGGCUUGGUCUACCUAGGAACCUGUGAAUCUUUUCUCUCCAAAAUGUUGUCUUAAAGAUUCAAUUUGACUCUUUUUAAGUGCUGAAAGCUCUUUCCUAAUUGUUGCAGUGCAUGCCGAAGUUCCAAGCUGAAAAUUUGGAGCAUAAUAAAAAGUUAUUUGAGCGUGUUAAUGAAAUAGCAAUGAGAAAAGGAUGCACCCCCGCACAGCUUGCAUUAGCCUGGGUUCACCACCAAGGUGAUGAUGUGUGUCCCAUACCUGGAACCACCAAGAUCGAACAGCUCAAUGAAAAUAUUCAAGCACUCUCAGUGAAAUUAGCUCCAGAAGAAAU
rnacentral:lncRNA from 1 species